rnacentral:rRNA from 1 species
CCUUCGGGAGGCAGCAGUGGGGAAUAUUGCACAAUGGGGGAAACCCUGAUGCAGCGACGCCGCGUGGGUGAAGAAGUACUUCGUCACGUAAAGCCCUAUCAGCAGGGAAGAAACUGACGGUACCUGAGCAAGAAGCCCCCGCCAACUACGUGCCAGCAGCCGCGGUAAUACGUAGGGGGCAAGCGUUAUCCGGAGUUACUGGGUGUAAAGGGAGCGUAGACGGUGCAACAAGGCAGGAGUGAAAUGCCGCGGCUUAACCGCGGGACUGCUUUGGGAACUGGCGGACUAGAGUGCGGGAGGGGUAGGCGGAAUUCCUGGUGUAGCGGUGAAAUGCGUAGAUAUCAGGAGGAACACCGGUGGCGAAGGCGGCCUGCUGGACCGUGACUGACGUUGAGGCUCGAAAGCGUGGGGAGCGAACAGGAUUAGAUACCCGGGUAGUC